rnacentral:rRNA from 1 species
UACGUAGGGGGCAAGCGUUGUCCGGAUUUAUUGGGCGUAAAGAGCUCGUAGGUGGUUCGGUAAGUCGGAUGUGAAAUCUCCAGGCUCAACCUGGAGGGGUCAUUCGAUACUGCCGUGACUAGAGGUCGGUAGGGGAGUGUGGAAUUCCUGGUGGAGCGGUGAAAUGCGUAGAGAUUGGAAAGAACACCGAUGGCGAAGGCACUUUACUGGGCUAUUACUAACACUGAGAGACGAAAGCUAGGGUAGCAAAUGGG